rnacentral:misc_RNA from 1 species
CGGUUGAUUGUUUUAACAAA